GAAUUCUGCCUUGGUAGCUGAGGGUUGCUUCACAGAAAAUUGUGUCCCUGAGGAUGAGUAGGAGUUUACCAGGUGAAGAUGGAAUGGAAGUGAAUUUAGGCAGAGGAAAGAGAGUGCGCCAAGUUUGGAAAGGGCACCGCAUGUUCAGUUAUGCCUGAGCAUCCUGAGGAAUAUCACCAGUGAGGCAGCCAGAUUACGAGAAGCCUCGGAUGAGCUCAAGGCCAUGUCUGCAUCCGUUUUACCACCAAACCUCAUGUAAUACCUGGCGCACAGUAGGUGCUCAAUAAAUGUUUACUUAACAAAUGAGUGGAAGAACAAAUGAAUAAGGAACCUGGACAUUAACAGGAAGUCUGUCAUUUGAUUUUUUGAAACAAGGAAUGUAACUGGGGGAUAAAGUUGAGGAUGGUUCACAUCAGGUGAGAUGCUAAUGGCAGGAAGACCAAGUAAAAUAGACCAGGAAAAGCGAGAUGGGAAGGACUGAAGCGGACAGCUACCUUCAGGAAGGCAAAGGAGGGCACAGCUUCAAGGGACAUUUCUGGGAUGAACCCAUGGUGCUUGGUUGGAUGUGGGGGAUAUGUUGAAUGAGAGGAACUGAAAACAUCCCUAGGAUGUGUGGCUUGUGUAGCGUAGAAAUAGUAUGGCAUAGCUAUAUGGCAGUUGUGAGAAAGAGCUAAAAGUAAAUAGCAAUGAACAGUUAUACAGUCCAGCCAAGCAACCACGCAUUGGGAAGCGAGGUGGGGAGAGGACCAGUAAGGCUUAUUGUCAGCAUCUCCCCUAAGAACUCCACUGUGGGCCUGUGGGUCCCUGUUCAUCUCAGCUGGGCAUCUCAACCUUCACUGGGCCAUGGAGUCUGCGCAGAGCGCAUCUGGGAGAUGGAGGUCGAACUCCAAAAGCAGUCCGACAACGCUUCAGGGGUGUACAAGUGUUGGUUGCAUCUGCCUGAAGACUCUGGAGGCAUCUAGAGGUGAAGCAGAAGAGCUUCUGAAGUCAGACCUCCUGAGUUCAAACCCCGCCUUCACCACUCACCAGUCAUGAGACUUUGGGAAAAUUACCCAUUUUUUACCUCUCCGGGUCUCAGUUUUCCCCACUGUAAAAUGGGGAUAAUAAUGGUCCGUGCCUUGGAGGGUCACUGUGAAGUUUGAGUUAGUGCAUGCUCAGAAUAAGCACUCACUACGUGUCUUCUUUUAUUAUGAGUCUGCCAGUAGCACCCCAGAAAUCAACCCAGCUGCCUCCUCUCUCCACAAAUUUACCUCCUUCUCUUUUGUGUCCAUAACAUCUCUCUGAAUUGUCACUACAGCAAAGAUAAGAUAUUCAGGGAUGGGGUCCAUGACUUAUUCCUCAACUAAGACGGCAUGUGUCAGUGAAGCAGGGCAUUCCGAAGGAGGCCCUCCCUCCCCUGUCAGACUCUUUCCCAGCAGUGCUCAUCGUGUCCAUAAUUAAAUGAAAGCAGUGACAGAAAAUGACUGGUGUAUGAGGCGUUUAUAAAGUCCUAGUGCGGCUUUAAUUCUCUAGUUUUCAGAACAUCUGUAAACCCUUUACUGUUAAAAAAAAAUCCCUUCUGGUGACCAUAAGUCUAUAAGUCAGGGUUAUUUCAUUUAUUCUAUUUCUCAGUUGUACUUCAUGUGCACAAAAGUAGUGUGGCUGAUGACACACUCUCAUCAUUCGUCCACACACAGCUGGCUUCUCUUUUUACCCUUUGUCUUUGUUAAAGUUGCAUGCCUGUGGUAAAGCAGGGCUGUGGGAACUGUCUGACCCAGAUAGAGAGAAGUAUUUUAUCACUGGCAUGGUUUAUAAUUGCAAGGACAUGUUGAUUAAUACAAAGAAGACCUGGGGCCAGACAGGUGGCAUAGCGGUUAAGUUUAUGUGCUCCCCUUCCACAGCCUGGGGUUCCUGGGUUUGGAUCUCAGCUGCAGACCUAACUACUGCUCAUCAAGCCAUGCUGUGGUGGCAUCCCACAUAAAA
rnacentral:lncRNA from 1 species